UUCACGGGGGCCCCACGCAGACUGCUGUGUUUGAGGAGCAUCUAAACAUUUUGCAGCUGGGGAUGGGGAUUAAGCUAAAUGGUAACGCCGUGCACCAUUUCUCCGCAUUCCUUCCAGGCCCUGGGAGGUGGAAGAGGAGCCAGCAGGGGGGAGCUGAGCAAGAAUAAUUUGCACUAACGAAGGUGUCUGUCUGUCCCAGUGAUGAGGAAAGUGACCAAGACAUGGAACUACUCCUUAGUGCCUGAGUUUGGAUCCAGCUCCACCAUUUCUUUGCUUUAUGGUUUGGGAGGCAUCCCUUGGCAUCUCUGGACCUCAGAGAGAAGUGGAGCCGCUGUACAUUGAGAUUCAAAAAACCUGCCUCCAGGCAAUUCUCCCGGGACUGGUUUAGCAGCCAGUGGCAGAGGCCUCUGUAGUCUGGAGAACCACACUGUUGUGACCAGUGGGACCUGCUUUCCGUGAAUCAACAGACAGUUGUGAAACAUCUCUCCUGCAGUGCCUCAAGCAGCCCAGAAGGAUCCAGGAGCCACCACCAGGACCUGUGCCCAAGCUCAUCAUGCCUUCAUGUACUGGGUUUCCCUCCUGCUGGCCUCUGGCUCCUGCUGGACGGCUCCCACCUCCCAGUAAAUAUUUCCGCUCAGGAUCUGCCAUCGGGGAUGGGGGUGGGGUCUAGGCUGAGACCCAGGCAUUUGGGCUAUUUUCCUUUUAACUGAAUGGAGUGAUAGCAUCUAGACUAUCUUCAUACCUGCUCGUUUCAAUUUUCUGAAUACAAAAAGUCUGCCCUUCUUUCACUGUGACUUUCCAUCCAGUUAAGUGUGUGAAACAGUUUACAGGGUGUGUCGGUUUCCUGUCACCCCACUGCAAUAAAACACCUAGGGCAAUUAAUUUAUAGGGAGAAAAGUUUUAUUUUGGCUCGUGGUUUUGGAGAUUCUAUUCUACGCAGAGGCAGCCGCCUUGCUUUUAGACCAGUGGCAGGGCACCACAGCAUGGUGUGAGCACACGGUGAGCAAAUCCAGCCCCUUUGAGGCCGGGAAGAAUGAAAGAGGGAAGGAGUGGAGUCCUGCAGUUCCUCUCCAGGCCACACCCCGGUGACCUAAGGACCACCCACUGGGUUCCACCUUUAAGCAUCCACGAGCUCCCUGGUGCCUCCAAGCCUUCAGCACGUGGGCUUUGGGGUCUCUCAGCGUCCAAACCACAGCAUGGGGUUACCCGUAUCUUUGCUUUGCAUCCUGUGGACCUUAGUGAGUGUGGUGAAAGAUGACAUCUCCGUGGGUCACAGGGACCCAGAAUGGAGUCUGCAGCUCACAUCUGGCAACCGCUCAGGAACUCUGGCCCUGUGCUUUCCACCACUAACUUUAAUCUGGCUCUGCUUUAUUUUUCCAAGCUAUAUUUUUAACUUCCUGCUAGGUUUUCACUUGUUCAUUUUAUCCAGCUCUGUUUAUGGAUUUGAAGUGUAUAAACAAGCAAUGACUGAUGUGAGUAGAGCUUUAAAAUUUUCAUAACACAUAAAUGAGUAGGCCUUUAAAAAAAGUCAUACAGCCCAAAUGUCCCAGAGUUGCGUAUGAUACUUUUACUAUGUGGAAAAGCUCUUAGAAAUGAUUAGACAAUUACAAGUUUUAAAAAAUAUUAGCAUGAAAGCUUUAACAUCAUCAUCUGGAGACCAUUUAUUGAAUUUUUUAAUUUCUAGAAGGCCCCUGGAUUCAUAUAUACCUGUGAAUUUAUGACUACUUUUUUGAUAAUAAGGAGGCAGGCAAGAAAUGGGGAAGUUAAAAAUAUAACAAAAAAUACAGCCUGCCACAAGUCUACAGUUUGAUUGUGGGCUGAUAAUUUCAUUUGUGUGUCUCACUCUCCUCCUUUUUUGCCUAAAAUAUAAGAAGAUUGGACUUGGGGUAUGGUUCAGUGAAUAAUGCUUACCUAGCAUGUACAGCACCUUGGUGCAUUGAUCUCCA